GCUUAUAUUGGACAAUAAAAAAGUUAGGUACUUUAACAACUAGCCAUGUUCGUCAUUAAUACAGGGUGUGCUACAAACUUAAGGGAUAAUUCUGCAUGAAAAGCAAUUAGGUGUUUAGAUAAAGAAUCACAGCUCGACAUAAUUACCCAGAAGUUUUAAAUUAUAAAUGGGAGAUUUGAAAAUAGUGCGAAAACCGUCUAUUAAAAAAUAGUUAUCGGAUCUAAGUAUACCAUUCUUUAGAACAAGACUAAACAAUAAAACUAAAAGACUAUCGCAGCUGUGUACAGGUCUGACCAACAUUUUAAAUUUAAGAAAAACAACAUGCUACAUGGUCAAACUCUUUUCAAAAUGUGGUUAAUGUUUUUUAAGUAAAUAUUGACGUAUUAACGAUAAAGUCUGCUCAGAUGACUGAAUAAUAUCGGUAGGGCAAACGUUUUGUAACAAUUUUUAUAGUAAUAAUUAUAAAUCUGUUUGUUAAAGUUAGUUGGUCCCUAAAAUAAUUUAUUUCCUAUAAAAUAAACUUUUUCUACCAAUAAUGAUCAUUCAUUUAGAGAAGCAAUAGAACAGAUGCCCUAAAAAUUAGCGUAUCCUCUCCGAAAAGUAUGAAAUUGGUUUAAAAAUCGUAUAUUUCUCCCUCUGUCUGAUCUGACUUUGCCUGAUAGGCCUCAAUAUAGGCAAAAUAUGUCUUUGUGUUAAUGAAGAAAAGACUUUAAUAGAGACAACACAGACAUUCAUGACUUCUGGUAUAUCUCACACCGCCCUCUAUAAAAUGAAUUGCAAAAAUUUGUUUCUAGAUGAUAUAGGUUUUCCGAAUCUAAAAAUUCUAGAAGGGAAAAUUGUGAGAACCAUAUUUGAACUAAAUAUAACUAGAAGAGGUUUAACAACAGCAAAAAGAAACACAAAUAGACGAAACAUUGAGUAGAAAACAAGAUAAUCAAAACACAAACAAUAAAACAUUUGUCCUAAAACAAUAAAA
rnacentral:lncRNA from 1 species